rfam:HIV-1 isolate T14788 from Cameroon gag protein (gag) gene, complete cds; pol protein (pol) gene, partial cds; and vif protein (vif), vpr protein (vpr), truncated tat protein (tat), rev protein (rev), vpu protein (vpu), envelope glycoprotein (env), an
CUCUGGUAUCUAGAGAUCCCUCAGAGCACUUUUAGCCGAGUGAAAAAUCUCUAGCAGUGGCGCCCGAACAGGGACCUGAAAGUGAAACCAGUU